rnacentral:lncRNA from 1 species
CAUGAUUGCAUGCAUACUUGCUAUAAGCUAUAUGCGAGUCUCUUCAGAACUAAACUCCAUUCUGAUACAAAAUUCAUCUUUCUUUUCAUUCUCAUUUUUUUUGCUUCUAGGAUCAACAUCUUUGGUUUCAAGUUGAUCUUUUGUGUUGGCUAUUUCAUAUUCUUCCUCAAAUUCACUGACUGAAGUGUCGUUUUCACUGAGUUAAGCAUCGUCUUCCUCGGCCAAAAACUUAACUAACUCUUUAUUUAACAAACUGGAAUCACCUGAGACUUGUAAACUAUAUCCACACUGACCACCAAAAACAGUUUCUUGACCACUUAAUUGAUUAUUCUCCAUUGCAAUCUGCACUAACCAUUUUAAUAUUAUUAUAUUUAUAUUAUAGGAGAGAUGUAACCUAAAUCUUUACUAAAUUUACUAUGUUUUCUUGAGCCAACCUC